GACGAACGCUGGCGGCGUGCCUAAUACAUGCAAGUAGAACGCUGAAGCUUGGUGCUUGCACCGAGCGGAUGAGUUGCGAACGGGUGAGUAACGCGUAGGUAACCUGCCUGGUAGCGGGGGAUAACUAUUGGAAACGAUAGCUAAUACCGCAUAAGAGUAGAUGUUGCAUGACAUUUGCUUAAAAGGUGCAAUUGCAUCACUACCAGAUGGACCUGCGUUGUAUUAGCUAGUUGGUGAGGUAACGGCUCACCAAGGCAACGAUACAUAGCCGACCUGAGAGGGUGAUCGGCCAAACUGGGACUGGGAAACGGCCCAGACUCCUACGGGAGGCAGCAGUAGGGAAGCUUCGGCAAUGGACGGAAGUCUGACCGAGCAACGCCGCGUGAGUGAAGAAGGUUUUCGGAUCGUAAAGCUCUGUUGUAAGAGAAGGACGAGUGUGAGAGUGGAAAGUUCACACUGUGACGGUAUCUUACCAGAAAGGGACGGCUAACUACGUG
rnacentral:rRNA from 1 species